rnacentral:rRNA from 1 species
UGGGGAACCUGCCCCAUAGUCUGGGAUACCACUUGGAAACAGGUGCUAAUACCGGAUAAGAAAGCAGAUCGCAUGAUCAGCUUUUAAAAGGCGGCGUAAGCUGUCGCUAUGGGAUGGCCCCGCGGUGCAUUAGCUAGUUGGUAAGGUAAAGGCUUACCAAGGCGAUGAUGCAUAGCCGAGUUGAGAGACUGAUCGGCCACAUUGGGACUGAGACACGGCCCAAACUCCUACGGGAGGCAGCAGGC